UGACACUCGAUAGGAUACGGGG
rnacentral:miRNA from 1 species